UCAGCUGGCCCAGGUAGAGCAAUCCCUCCCGGGGGGCUCUCAUGAGCGGAUCCGGGCACCCCGGGAGGUGGCGGGGACUACCUUUCCCAAGAUGCCGUGCUCUGGGUUUCGUUCGGCGCUAAGAGUAGAGACCCGUGAUUGAGAUCUUCCCCGUCAAUUAGAAGAGGGGCCAUGUGGAGGAUGCCUUGAUCUGUGGCCAAGAUCAAUUGAAGAGAGGAUGCUGGACUGGCAGAGUUAUGUUUUGAUGUGCAGUUGUCAAUUCUGAAGAGUAACCUGAGCAAUGGAAAGAAGACAAACAGCUGGAGCACACCAGUACUGUGGCUUCCCAGGCACGGCUAAACCACCUGAGACCUUCAAGCCAAAGAUUCCAUUGACCUGGACUCUCCAGGGACAGCUUCAAGCAUUGGCCAUCCUCAAGUCUUCCUAGGUUGGCCCGUCAGGGAGGGGAGUAGACUUCUGAAAGAAUAUGGUUGACCUUGUUAUACAAGAGAUCAGAGAGAGAAGAAAUACAAGAGAGAAUGAGAAGGAAAAGGAGGAGGGAAAGAAAAAGGAAAAGUGGAAUAAACCAAGAGAGAUGUGUCAAGAUGAUAAAAUUGAGGAAUCAGGAGGAUUUUGAACACAGGAUGUCACACUACAGUCUAAACCUUCCUUGUUCACUAAGCUAAACCCUCAUAUUUGGAGACUACUGAAUGAGAAGAAUAAUGCAAUGUGUUGAAUGCCUACAACACCUCAAGGACCUUUUUUUCAUCUUUUACUUUUUAAAAUUUUAUUGUAGUAAGAACACUUAACAUGAGAUCUACCUUUCUAAAAAAUUGUUAAUUGUAGACUACAUUAUUGUUGACUAUAGGUAUAAUGCUGUAUAGCAGGUCUCUAGAGCUUAUUAAUCUUGCUUGAUUGGAACUUUAUGCACACUGAUUAGUAACUCCUCAUUUCUCUCUCCCCCUAGACCCUGGUAACCACAAUUCCACUCUUUGAUUCUAUGAAUUUGACUAUUUUAGAUACCUCACAUAAAUGGAAUCAUGCUGUAUUUACCUGUGACUGGCUUAUUUCACUUAGCAUAGUGUCCUCAAAGUUCACUUAUGUUGCCACAUAUUCCAGAAUUUCAUUGUUUAAAAGGCUGAAUAAUAUUUCAUCAUGUGUAUAUACCAGAUUUUCCUUAUCCAUUCAUCUGUCGAUGGACAUUUAGGUUAUUUCCACAUCUUGGCUUUUGUGAAUAAUGCUGCAAUGAACAUAGCUGUGUUAAUAUCUUUUUGAGACCCUGAUUUCAAUUCUUUUGACUAAAUACCCAAGGGUGGGAUUACUGGAUCAUAUGGUAGCUCUAUUUUUACUUUUUUGAGCAACUCACAUACUGUUUUCCAUAGUGGCUGCACCAUUUUGCAUUCCUACAACAGUGUACAAGGGUUCCAAUUUCUCCACUUAUAUGUUUGUCCUCACCAACAUAUUUCAGCUUAAAUAAUUUGUUUUUGUUCUCUCUGGUCAACACGUGCAUGUGGCUAAGACUGGUUAUCUGUGCCCAUUUCUAUCUGUUACUUGUCGUUGGCUGUGACCUUAUCAUUUGGGGUUCCAAUAAAGGACGGCCUGGAGCUGGACUGGACCGCAUGGAGCCACUCCAGGCCACAUGGACCCUCUGGCCACUCUGGUCUGGACUCAUUCCUCCUCCCACCAGGACUUAUAAGGAACUGAGCCAGCUCCCAAGGGUAAAGAUAGGUCACUAGGCAGAUGACCAUGUACCUUUAACUGCUGACCCUGAUUUGUGUGUACUGGCUUUGAGGCAGGAUUCUUGUGGCUACUUUUUACUCUGAGUUUAUAUUUAAGCAAAGAUUAGAUUUGCUGUGUGCCUCUCACUUACACAUGAAAGGUUGGGUGUACAUCAUUGGGUAGUAUCCCACAAAACCAAUGGGCUAUAGAAGUCAAUUGUGCCCUGUAUAAGUGAUCAACUUGGGCAAUCAAACAUUUGAGUGAUAAAAAUGACUAGAAAUUUUGUAAAGGUCAAUUUCAGGAUAUUGACAAGUGUUUGAGCAGCCUUUGCUUGCAAGUAUUAUGCUAGGUAAUUUGGGGGAUACAGAGGUGUGCUAUCAAAGUCUGGAAUGAUGAAAACAACUGGGAUCAGGCUGUGCAGUACUGUACUGAAAACCAAGCCUGCGCUGACUGAAGGUAAUUAGGAAAAGGAGCUACCAAUGGGCAAAUGCUAAGAUGAGAGAGACGGCCACUUCACAGUGCAGUAAAAUGAUCUUUCCUUCUGUCUAUAUGAGUGAUCACUUCUACAUAUUUACAAAACAGAUGCAAUGAUUAUUGGUGGUUUGUGUAGAGUAUGUCUUCGUUGGCCAAAUAAGUUAGGGAAUGCUAGCUUAAGAAAAAUGUAUACAGGUUUCUCUCCCGUAGGACCUUUCCAAACUUUUUGUAUGCUAAUUUUAAAGCUCUAAGACAGAGCUGAACUUUCUGGUUUCCCACAUUUUGCACUUUGAAAACAUUUUCAUAUGCGACAUCUUCUGGAACUAGUCUUUGGAAAGACUAGAAACAAUGGUUUAACAUUUUCCAAGUCAUAUGCCUCUCAUUUCAUGUUGUCUUUCUGUUUAGGUCUGGAGGAGAAAAUCUAGGCAGUAUAAUUUAGUGGAAAAGUGACCAGAGAGUAGCCCAAGACCUGGGCUCAUCACUCAAGCCUGUUUUGGUUUCACCUUCUAUGAAAAUAAAUUCUUUCCUACUGUCCUCAACAAAGUGAGCCUACUUGAGACUCAUUGACCCAGAGACUGCAUUGGCCAAAGGAUUUCCGGUUUCCCAAGUCAGGGAACAAAUCCAGCCAUAAAUCCUUUAAAUGCAAUCCCAAUAUGCAUUUUCCUUUUCUUUUCUCAAAAUAUUCAGCUCUGAGCCCUUACUUUGUGGCUCAUUUUGUGUUUGUCCAAGGCAACCCAAAGAAAUGGAGUUAGUCAGUGCUAGAAAUGUCCGAAAGGGAUGCAUCAGUUCAAGUCUCCUGUUUUACAGACAAGGAAUCUGAACUUUGGAGUUUGACUUUCCCUUGGAUUAUAGUGCCAGUCAGUGUGAGGGACGGUAAGGAAAUUAAGGUCACCUGACUCAGUCUAUGCCACUUCCUAUAGCAGUGUACAGAGACCCUAGGAUCACCCUGAGGUUUGAGUCCCUUGACAAAAGAUUAACCUAGGGGAAAUGCCAGGGAAAUUCCUCAGUUUCACCCAGAUCCUCUUGCUCUUCUCAGAAGUAGUAAUUCUCAACUUAAAUAUUGUUGCUCUUAUAUCUUGGGGAAAACUGUUCAACACAAGCGAUUAAGGCUUAAAAACUCCAUUGGUCUGUUAGGGAUUUACCUAACUCUGUCCCAGAACUACAAAAAAAAAAAGAAUCCCCCCAAAACAACACAAAAAAUCCUAUUAACAGAUUCUAGAUGCUGUUAUAUCAAGGGUCCCGGGAAAUGAUUGAGUUUAACACUUGAGGGCUACAGAAUGAGAGCUAGGGUAAAUGCAUGGUGUUGCUAAACCUCAGGCAAUUUAACUGCGGCUGCCAAGGCAUCCACAGUAAGACUUUUUCAAUUGGUAUAUUUAUACUUUCUUUACUUAGUAUUGAUUCUAAAUAAGGAUAAAACCCAUCCUUGAUGGGAAGCCUAUGAGUAAGAACAGAUGAAUUAAAGUUUGUUUUAUCUUCCCACUUUCCUUUCGCUGUAGCCAAAAAAAGCCUUCCCUUUGGAGGCAAACGGGAUGUGUUCUAGAGGCAGCAGCCACUGCCUUCAGAACAACUGCAUGAUGAAGUGGUAGAAGAGGCUAGAGCAAGAGGAAUGUUGGGUUCUGGUGCAGGUCCAGGGCUUCCUAAACCUUUUGUCUGUAAAACUGGGGGAAAUAGACCAUCUUAAAGGUCCACAGGUCUCCAAACUUCCCCUGCUCCCUGUUGUAUAUUGAUGCCAGGGGAUAUCAUAUUCUAAACUCUAUAUUCUUCUUAAAACACCUGCUUUGGGGCCACCAAUAAAGCAAGUUCUCUCUCUCUUUUAGGUGUUGCAACAGACUGACUUCACUGUAGAUAUUUACUCAUUGAUUAUUUGUGGACUUGAGAAUAAUCUCUGGGUAGUUUGCUUAAUGGCAGAAAAUGAGUGGACAGAAUGAGUGACCAAAGUAUGAUUGUUUAGCUAUUAGCUGCUCAUGGUUGUGUGAGUGGGAACAGGCUUUGGAAAUACAGAAGUUUUAGUUCUGGAAAAUUCUAGCUGAAAAAUGUCAGGCAAGUUAUUAAGUCGGUUUGUAUCUCAGUUUUCUUCUCUCUAAAAUGGACAUAAUAAUCACCUUGCUGUUUUUUGUCAGAGUAAAAUGAGCUAACAUAUUCAAAGAGCCCAAUAUAAUGCUUAUUAUGUGAUGGGUAAUAAAUAUAAGCUGUUAUCAAUAAAAAUCACAUAGGAAUUUUAUCUUUUUGUCGUUUUCUUGGUGUUUUCACAGAGUCCGGAAAACUAUAUCUGUUUCAAAAGUGUUCGUUGAAUAAAGAAAUAACUCCCUUGACAUAUUUUAAAUUCCUAUUAUCCCUAUAGAGCUGUCAUAAAAUUUCAUAUAAUGCUACUAAAUGAAUUGAGAAUAGAAUUGUUUGAUAAGGUAAGCAGAGGUAUGAUGAUAUGAUGUUACAAUGUUCUAGACUAUUUAAUUUAUUCACCAAAGUAGCAGCUCCAUGGGGCAACACUUGGGAUAUAUUUAUUCAAUCGGAUCUAUCUUGAGAAUUUUCUGUGCACUGCCUUCUGUACUUGGAGGACAGCAAUGGUCAGCAAGAGAGGUCAUAAUGAUGGACAAUCAAUAAUUAUGCCUGGGCCUGGACAUAGGGUUGUAGAUGGAUGAUUUAACACAAGCCAUAGCAACAAUAAUCUUAUGAGGUAGACAGUAGUAUUGUCCUCACUUUACAAAAAUGAAAAUGAAUCCCAGAGAGACAGAAUAACUAGUCCAAGUUUAUAGAGGUGUAAGAGGCGGGCACUGUACUCAAACCCCGGCACUCCGACUCUCCAAGUCCGCUGUUACUACUCUGCCAUGUGAGAUUUCGUCCUUUAGGAAAUUUACACUCUAAUUAAAUAAAGUCAAUCAAUGCAAUGUAAGACAUGCUCCAAUCCAAGGAACACUUAGGUGAUUUGGAGCACAUGGGAGGUACUAUCUGAAAAGCAAUUGAUUUGCUAGGCUUUCUGCCUUUUUUCCCCCCAGCUACUUCCUCACUUAUACUUGAAAGUUUCUUGACGGGUUAUUGAUGGGUUUUCCCCUCCCUUUCUCAUAGAACUGCUGUGAUUCAUUUAGCUGGAGGUUUCAACUGAGAGGGAAAGUACCAGCCUUUGGUCAUGUUUACUCACUGGCUGUCUAUGGGGGUUACGUGUGGUCAUCCAAAGACAUCAAACACUCCAUUGUAUUCAGAACAAUGCUGCUGCUGGCCUGUGAGAAGGAACUAGAUAACCCCUCUGCUAUCUCUAGUUUCUCUGAUACAGUUCUGCAAACAGUGCAGCAGCUAUUCUCAUAAAACCUCCUACAUGAACUUUGAUUCUUUCGAGGGUGGCUCUGGAAAAACCAAGGAGAGAAGAUAGAAUUAGUAUAGCAGUAGCUGGCUGGCCAGGUUUAUUCAGAUCCUACAUGUACAACAGCAUUUCUAGGAGCCAUUAGGAUCCUAAGGAGAAAGAACAAUCAAAAAUAGGUGUCUUUCUCUCACCUGCCUGAUACGAAAUUUGACAUUGCCCCAUUAGAGUGGCCCAUAUUAGAUUCUUUAUAGACAAGAGCUUUCUCUGGAUUAAGGUUUUUGGUUUUCUAUUGCAUUGAUUUAUUAGUACCUUAUCUUAGGGGCUGCUUACUUGAUUAAUUAAUGCGUUCACAUCUGAUUGUCACUUGGGAGAGACUGUGAGAGAGUAGGGUUCUGAUACAGAGAGAUGUGGGGGAGGAUUCUGCAGGAUGGGUGGAGACAAGCCAAAGCAUGCCAGAAGGCAUUGAGAACCAAGGGAAGAACAUCUUUCAUAGUUGGGAAGAAAGGGAGUUGGGAAAUAACAAGGCAAAUUCCCUUUGACCUUAGCCUGGUCCAACUGUCUUGCUUACAAAUAUUACUUCCAUUCAUUCAUUCAUUCUUCAUUUAUUUAGUUAACUCUUCUCCAGACACAGUACAAGGCAAAUCACCAAAAAGAUUACAAAGUGGAGGGAAACUCAGUCCCUCCUUCAAGUUCACAAUCUAAGAAGGGACAUAUGUGUGCACAAUUAGGACUGCAGAGGGCCUGGUUUUAGAAGGGAGGUGUGCGCACAGUGGCAUAGAGCCAUGAAACUUAGGUCCUUUUUAUCUGGGUCCUGAGAAAGUGCAAUAGAAGACGGAGGGGCAGGUGUGGCUGGGACUCAGGGUGAAUCUUCUCCAGUUCACCUCCUCAUUGGUGGAGUUGCCUUCUAUGGGGGUACUUGCCCACAGCCUGGGGAAACCUGCCAGCAGCACCUUGACCUUGUGUAAGCUGUUUUGCUGAGUAAAUCUGGCCAAGGCAGGGGUGUGCAGGUAGAUAAUGAGAAUGCUAACAAUUACAGCUAGCAGUUUUUUGGUACUUUUUAUGUGCCAGACGCCAUAAUAGAAUACUUAAUGAUCUUGGCAACCCUAUAAGUAGUCUUAUUAUUCCCAUUGUACAGAUAAGGAAACUGAUGCUAAGGGAGGUUAAGUAUCAGGCCCAAGGACACACAAGUUAAGUGGCAGAGCUGGGAUUUCCUUCAGCAGUUCAACUUUACCUCCUCAGCCUGAAUAAGGAUAUCCAGCACUUCCUAACACAGGUUAUGAAAAGAUGGCUGUUCAUCUUUUGCUCGGCAUUGUUAUAAAGCCUGGAUUUUUGGUUCCAUACAUUGAUUUUGAAUUGGAAGACUCAAAGUCAGCCCCAAACCUGCCACUUGCUACCUGAGAACUCUUUGGAAAGGUACAAGAUUCUUCGAGGCACAGAUCCUUUCCUGUGCUGUGUGCCUAUGGUUGCCCCCAUGUUUUUGUAAGACUCUACUCCUCUAAUAGAAGUUGAUUUGGACUCAACUGGACCAGUUAAGAUCCUUCCCCAGGAUUUGGCUUGACCCAGAGAAAGCAUCUCUGCAGUGGUUGAAGUUCUAUGAUGUGUAACUUACGAACUGUCAGUAGCCAUGUUUUCCUGCCAAUGAAGAAUACUGGUCUACAGUGAGAGAGAAUAAAGCCAACAUGCAGAAAGAAACAGAGGCAGAAACAAGCCUGGAUUUAUCCACUCGGUACAGGAUGAGAAUAAGGAGUGAGGUGUGCUUGCUUGUAGGAACCAAGGCAGAACAUUGCCAGAUGGCCAAACCACAAGACCAAUCCAAACCAAAAGGUCCAAUAUGGCCAUGGAGUGCUGUGUGCAAUAGAAAAUGUGUGCAAAAGGUGCUGUGUGCAAGAAGGAAAGGUCUGAACAUGCCCCCAAAUGCCCACACCAGAGUGAUGAUGCAGAGAGCUCCCCGCCUUCACAUCCCACAGGAACCCUGCUCACCUUCCCUUUGAGAAGGUACUUUACAGCAUGAGCUCUACCUCCUCCAUUUGUUGAUCAAUGAAUAACGUUUCUGCUCUGCUAUUCCCAACCCCAGUCUCCUUCUAUUGGUGCCAGCAGCUCAGGGCAAAAGGGCCCACUUGCGGGUCACUGGUCCCUUAGGGCUCAUUAACAAUACAGGUGAAUGGGGAAUUAUUAGGAGUGCAAUGUCUAAUCCAUGACACUAAAUUAAAUCUCAGUGGGAAUUCUUUAUCAACUCUGUGGCCAUUCUAUCCCAUAACAGUAUAGUUAAGCAUUUAUAUAUAGAUAAU